rnacentral:rRNA from 1 species
UACGGAGGAUGCGAGCGUUAUCCGGAUUUAUUGGGUUUAAAGGGUGCGUAGGCGGCCUGCCAAGUCAGCGGUAAAAUCGCGGGGCUCAACCCCGUACAGCCGUUGAAACUGCCGGGCUCGAGUGGGCGAGAAGUAUGCGGAAUGCGUGGUGUAGCGGUGAAAUGCAUAGAUAUCACGCAGAACCCCGAUUGCGAAGGCAGCAUACCGGCGCCCGACUGACGCUGAGGCACGAAAGUGCGGGGAUCAAACAGG